rnacentral:rRNA from 1 species
AAGUCAACGAUCAGUAGCCGACCCGAGAGGGUGAUCGGCCACAUUGGGACUGAGACACGGGCCCAGACUCCUACGGGAGGCAGCAGUGGGGAAUAUUGGGCAAUGGGCGAAAGCCUGACCCAGCAACGCCGCGUGAAGGAAGAAGGUUUUCGGAUUGUAAACUUCUGUCCUAUGUGAAGAGGAGUAGACGGUAGCAUAGGAGGAAGCCCCGGCUAACUACGUGCCAGCAGCCGCGGUAAUACGUAGGGGGCGAGCGUUGUCCGGAAUGAUUGGGCGUAAAGGGCGCGUAGGCGGCUUGAUAAGUCUGGAGUGAAAGUCCUGUUUUCAAGAUGGGAAUUGCUUUGGAUACUGUUGAGCUUGAGUGCAGGAGAGGUUAUCGGAAUUCCCGGUGUAGCGGUGAAAUGCGUAGAGAUCGGGAGGAACACCAGUGGCGAAGGCGGGUAACUGGACUGCAACUGACGCUGAGGCGCGAAAGUGUGGGGAGCAAACAGGAUUAGAUACCCUGGUAGUCCACACUGUAAACG